GGGUUGUGAGGUUAAGCGACUAAGCGUACACGGUGGAUGCCCUGGCAGUCAGAGGCGAUGAAGGACGUGCUAAUCUGCGAUAAGCGUCGGUAAGGUGAUAUGAACCGUUAUAACCGGCGAUUUCCGAAUGGGGAAACCCAGUGUGAUUCGUCACACUAUCAUUAACUGAAUCCAUAGGUUAAUGAGGCGAACCGGGGGAACUGAAACAUCUAAGUACCCCGAGGAAAAGAAAUCAACCGAGAUUCCCCCAGUAGCGGCGAGCGAACGGGGAGCAGCCCAGAGCCUGAAUCAGUGUGUGUGUUAGUGGAAGCGUCUGGAAAGGCGCGCGAUACAGGGUGACAGCCCCGUACACAAAAAUGCACAUACUGUGAGCUCGAUGAGUAGGGCGGGACACGUGGUAUCCUGUCUGAAUAUGGGGGGACCAUCCUCCAAGGCUAAAUACUCCUGACUGACCGAUAGUGAACCAGUACCGUGAGGGAAAGGCGAAAAGAACCCCGGCGAGGGGAGUGAAAAAGAACCUGAAACCGUGUACGUACAAGCAGUGGGAGCAC
rnacentral:rRNA from 1 species